UCGGGCGCUGACACUAGAUUACAGUGUUUAUAAUUUACAGCUAAUCAUUCGUGUGGAAAAAGGAGAGACAGAGAGAAAACACCCCCUCCAAACCACAGCAGCCAAAAACCUUCGUAUUAACAGGCGUGAUUAGUGAUUAUUUCUGCAAUAGGAGACAGGCCAGGCCCCCAGCCAGGUUCUUGGCUUCAGCUGCUAUUCUAAAUCCUAAACAGAUGAUUGACUGAGCUGCCACAUUUGCUGUUCACAGACUUCCCUUGAUGAGACCGAGGGGCCGUCUCCAGGGUCCGUUCAAAUUCUCCUGCUUCCAGACGAGAUGUUCAGAUGGCAAUCCUAAGCACCGCUUCUCAGUCCACUGGAGUCCACUGCAUUCGAAGGAGGCAGCUCUGUUUGGGAUUGUUCAGUUUAUUUCCCUUACCGUUAACAACUGUUCUCCGGGCUAUCUCCCAUAGGACCAGACCGUAUGCCCAGAUGUCUGUCUGCUUGAAGGAUUCAAAAAAGUCCAUACGGAUCUGUUCAUCUAAAACUUCAGGCGCCAUGUAUCUUUUGGUUCCUACCCGUGGGUUAUUUCCAAUGUCCAAGUAGUCAUUGCUCUGGGAAUGCAUGACUGCCAAACCUGAAAGGAAAAAAGUAUGUCAUUUUUUUGAGGAAUGCUUAGCUAGGAAAGUUAGGUACUUCUCCAAAGACAGCCCAGUUCAACAUCCUGCCAAACCUUGUGUGACUCCAGGCAAAGUACUUAAUUCCUUUAAACCGGCAUUCUUAAUGUAAGAGCCACACAGAAUAAACUUCAGAUGUUUGAGAGCCACAAGACCUGAACAAGUAUUACACACAUGUUUUUAUUGCUACAUAUAAAUAAAUAUACAUAAUAAUUAUUAUUCAUAUAUGUAAUUCUUAUUAGCAUUAAAUGAAACUUCCAAAAAUAAAAACAAAAGGAGUAAAAACA